GUGAAACCGCGAAUGGCUCAUUAAAUCACACCUAAUCUACUGGAUAGUUAACAGUUACUUGGAUAACUGCGGUAAUUCUGGAGCUAAUACAUGCACAAAGCCCCGAACUUACGUGAGGGGCGCUUUUAUUAGAUCAAAACCAAACGGCUUCGGCUGUACUCUUGGUGACUCUGAAUAACUUUGGGCUGAUCGUACGGCCUAGCGCCGACGACAUAUCCUUCGAAGGUGUGCCCUAUCAACUGUCGACUGUGGCAUAGACGCCCACAGUGGUUUUGACGGGUAACGGGGAAUCAGGGUUCGAUUCCGGAGAGGGAGCCUUAAAAACGGCUACCACAUCUAAGGAAGGCAGCAGGCACGCAAAUUACCCAAUGACCGAAGGUCGAGGUAGUGACAAAAAAUAACGAUACGGGACUCAUCUGAGGCCCCGUAAUCGGAAUGAGUACACUUUAAAACCGUCCCCGAGGAUCUAUUGGAGGGCAAGUCUGGUGCCAGCAGCCGCGGUAAUUCCAGCUCCAAUAGCGUAUAUUAAAGUUGUUGUGGUUAAAAAGCUCGUAGUUGGAUCUCGGCGGUCUGAGGGCGGUUCGCUUGAUUGAGUGCUACUGCUCUAUAGGCCGUGGUUUUGCCAGAGGUCUCGGGGUGCUCUUAACCGAGUGUCCUGCGAUGCUGGCAGGUUUACUUUGAAAAAAUUAGAGUGCUCAAAGCAGGCUUUUACGCCUGAAUAUUCGUGCAUGGAAUAAUAGAAUAGGAAGUCGUUUCUAUUUUGUUGGUUUUCGGAAAUCGACUUAAUGAUUAAUAGGGACAGUCGGGGGCAUUUGUAUUCAAACGACAGAGGUGAAAUUCUUGGACCGUUUGAAGACAAACUACUGCGAAAGCAUUUGCCAAGAAUGUUUUCAUUAAUCAAGAACGAAAG
rnacentral:rRNA from 1 species